UGGGCGGAAGCCUGAUGCAGCAACGCCGGGGGAGGGAUGACGGCUUCGGGUUGUAAACCUCUUUUAGCAGGGAAGAAGCGAAAGUGACGGUACCUGCAGAAAAAGCGCCGGCUAACUACGUGCCAGCAGCCGCGGUAAUACGUAGGGCGCAAGCGUUAUCCGGAAUUAUUGGGCGUAAAGAGCUCGUAGGCGGUUUGUCGCGUCUGCUGUGAAAUCCCGAGGCUCAACCUCGGGCCUGCAGUGGGUACGGGCAGACUAGAGUGCGGUAGGGGAGAUUGGAAUUCCUGGUGUAGCGGUGGAAUGCGCAGAUAUCAGGAGGAACACCGAUGGCGAAGGCAGAUCUCUGGGCCGUAACUGACGCUGAGGAGCGAAAGGGUGGGGAGCAAACAGGCUUAGAUACCCUGGUAGUCCACCCCGUAAACGUUGGGAACUAGUUGUGGGGACCAUUCCACGGUUUCCGUGACGCAGCUAACGCAUUAAGUUCCCCGCCUGGGGAGUACGGCCGCAAGGCUAAAACUCAAAGGAAUUGACGGGGACCCGCACAAGCGGCGGAGCAUGCGGAUUAAUUCGAUGCAACGCGAAGAACCUUACCAAGGCUUGACAUACACCAGAACACCGUAGAAAUACGGGACUCUUUGGACACUGGUGAACAGGUGGUGCAUGGUUGUCGUCAGCUCGUGUCGUGAGAUGUUGGGUUAAGUCCCGCAACGAGCGCAACCCUCGUUCUAUGUUGCCAGCACGUAAUGGUGGGAACUCAUGGGAUACUGCCGGGGUCAACUCGGAGGAAGGUGGGGAUGACGUCAAAUCAUCAUGCCCCUUAUGUCUUGGGCUUCACGCAUGCUACAAUGGCCGGUACAAAGGGCUGCAAUACCGUGAGGUGGAGCGAAUCCCAAAAAGCCGGUCCCAGUUCGGAUUGAGGUCUGCAACUCGACCUCAUGAAGUCGGAGUCGCUAGUAAUCGCAGAUCAGCAACGCUGCGGUGAAUACGUUCCCGGGUCUUGUACACACCGCCCGUCAAGUCAUGAAAGUCGGUAACACCUGAAGCCGGUGGCCCAACCCUUGUGGAGGGAGCCGUCGAA
rnacentral:rRNA from 1 species